UGAGCUUUUCCUUUAAUGCUUUGCCACCUCCAGGAAUUUGCCUGUCAUCUCACUACCCCAAAUUGUAUCUCCAGCCAAGAAACUCUUGCCAAAUUCGUGGCCUUAAUUUCCUAUUUAAAUUCUCUUCCUGCCCCCCUCCAUUCUACCUUAAGAGUGCCAAGACAUUUAAAUCUAUUAUGAAUAUGUCAUUUUAAUGUCCCAAUCCCUUUCAUCAUACAUGGUGGCAUCCCCUCAUCUUUAUCGUUCGCCAACAAAGAAAUGAAUGGGGUGGAGGACAUGGGAUACAUUUCUGUAUUGCCACCUUACAAAAUUUUCACUGGAAUGGUUCAAAUGCAUGUUCUUCAUGACCUUGUGGAUAUCUUAACAUCAAAGUGAAGAUCAAAAAUUCUGUUUCCAGGCACAGCAGUGCACGCUUGUGAUCCCAGCAACUCAAGAGGCAGAGGCAGGAGGAUUGCAAAUUUCAGGGUCUCGCUAUGUUGCCACCCUGGUCUUGAACUAGGUUCCUGCACUCCUCCCAUCUCAAGUCUCCUGAGUAGCUGGGACUAUAGGACACCAGCCUGACCCCAAAGGCCUGAAGAAGAGUGGGCAUAAUUGCCAUGAUGGGACAAUCACCAGCAGCUACCUUAUAAGGCACUAGAAAAGAUCCCCCAAAUGAAUUAGCGUAGAAGUGACCUGUAAGUGCUGAGUGACAAUACCAUCCCUCAGAGCAUCAAAAGCAUUGUCAAGACCCAAACACCUUGUCAAGAUGAAGUCAU